AUUGAACGCUGGCGGAAUGCUUUACACAUGCAAGUCGAACGGCAGCACGGACUUCGGGCUGGUGGCGAGUGGCGACCGGGUGAGUAAUACAUCGGAACGUGCCCAGUCGUGGGGGAUAACGUAGCGAAAGCUACGCUAAUACCGCAUACGAUCUAAGGAUGCAAGCGGGAGAUCGCAAGACCACGCGCGAUUGGAGCGGCCGAUGGCAGAUUAGGUAGUUGGUAGGGUAAAGGCCUACCAAGCCGACGAGCUGUAGCUGGUCUGAGAGGAUGAUGAGCAACGCGGGGACUGAGACACGGCCCAGACUCCUACGGGAGGCAGGAGUGGGGAAUUUUGGGCAAGGGGCGCAAGCCUGAUCCAGCCAUUCCGCGUGCAGGAUGAAGGCCUUCGGUUUGUAAACUGCUUUUGUACAGAACGAAAAGGCUCUGGUUAAUACCCGGGGCUCAUGACGGUACUGUAAGAAUAAGCACCGGCUAACUACGUGCCAGCCGCCGCCGUAA
rnacentral:rRNA from 1 species